AGAGAAGUAUGGAGAGGUUUUGGAUGCAGCCUGCUUAUUCUGAGAAACACUGCCUGUAUGGUCGCCAGGAGUCGGGAUCAACUUGACUGCACAAUAAUAGUUUGGAUCAACAUAAACUUAAUAAGACAAACUACAGGCUUGGAGGUUAGGGAACCAGCCUUGUACCGGAAAGUCGCUGGUCAAGAUCCCUUGAGCUGAGACUGAGAUGCCCGCGAGCAAGACACCAACCCCCCAACUGCUCCCCCAGCACUGCGGAUAGGGCUGCCCACCGCCCUGGGAAAGUGUGCUCACUGCCCCCUAAUGUGUGUCUUCACUAGCGUGUACGUAGUGUUUCACUACACGGAUGGGUUAGAUUGCGUAGGUGAAAUUUCCCCAUUGUGGGACUAAUAAGGUCUCUUAAUCUAUCGAGCAGUGGAGCUUAUUUCUGUAUUGUUAUACACUGACAUUGAAUAUCUCUUCAGAACCCACAGAACAGUUACUGGAUUAUUUCACAAUAUUUACUUACCAUGUCAUAUAGUUGCUACAAACAUAAGAAGAACUGGCUGUAAAAAAUGCCCUGUCUAAUCAUCUAAAACACACACACACACACACACGGAAGAUAAUAAACAAGAAAACUAUUUGUUUAUUUACCACAUUUACUUGAAAACAGUGAUUUGCAUUUUGUUUGUGGAAAGUGUCUACACAGUUAACAAGAACCAUCCAUGUGGCUCUGAAAAUGUAUUAAAAAUAAGCAUUUAAAAUAACUAAUAUAA